CCCCUAGAUGUUCUGGGCCGCACGCGCGCUACACUGAACAGUUCAACAAGUCUUAACCUUGGCCGAUAGGUCUGGGUAAUCUUUGAACGCUGUUCGUGAUUGGGAUAGACCUUUGCAAUUAUGGGUCUUCAACGAGGAAUUCCUAGUAAACGCAAGUCAUCAGCUUGCAUUGAUUACGUCCCUGCCCUUUGUACACACCGCCCGUCGCUGCCCGGAACUGAGCCAUUUCGAGAAAAAUGGGGACAGACUGCUUGUGGGUGCGCAAGCACUUCUUGCAGAUUGAAACCAUCUUGAUCGGUAUGGCUUGAACCGGGCAAAAGUCGUAACA
rnacentral:rRNA from 1 species